rnacentral:rRNA from 1 species
AGAGUUUGAUCCUGGCUCAGGAUGAACUUUAGCGACAGGCUUAACACAUGCAAGUCGAGGGGCAGCGGGGAGGUAGCAAUACUUCCGCCGGCGACCGGCGCUCGGGUGAGUAACACGUAUGGAACCUGCCCGUAGCAGGGGGAUAAACGGAAGAAAUUCCGUCUAAUACCGCGUAAUAACUCCGAGAGGCAUCUCAUGGAGUUUAAAGGGUAACACCGGCUACGGAUGGCCAUGCGGCGCAUUAGCUAGUUGGCGGGGUAACGGCCCACCAAGGCGACGAUGCGUAAGGGUUCUGAGAGGAAGGUCCCCCACACUGGUACUGAGACACGGACCACACUCCUACGGGAGGCAUCAGUGAGGAAUAUUGGUCAAUGGGAGCGAGCCUGAACCAUCCCACUCGCGUGACGGAAGACGGAUCUAUAGAUUGUAAACCUCUUUUGGCUGUGAAUAAAAAACACCACAUGUGGCGUUCCGAGAGUACCCGAAAAAAAUUCAUCGUCAAACUCCGUGCCAUCGCCCCGCCGUUACUACGGAGGAACCUCCCGUACCCCCCGAUCCUUUGCGCCUAACAGCGCGCGGAGGCGGAAGAUCAAGUCAGCGGUAAAUUGAGAGGCUCAACCUUUUCGAGCCGUUGAAACUGGUUUUCUUGAGUGAGCGAGAAGUAUGCGGAAUGCGUGGUGUAGCGGUGAAAUGCAUAGAUAUCACGCAGAACUCCGAUUGCGAAGGCAGCAUACCGGCGCUCAACUGACGCUCAUGCACGAAAGUGUGGGUAUCGAACAGGAUUAGAUACCCUGGUAGUCCACACAGUAAACGAUGAAUACUAAUUGUUCGGGGAGAAUGAUCCCUGAGUGAUACAGCGAAAGCGUUAAGUAUUCCACCUGGGGAGUACGCCGGCAACGGUGAAACUCAAAGGAAUUGACGGGGGCCCGCACAAGCGGAGGAACAUGUGGUUUAAUUCGAUGAUACGCGAGGAACCUUACCCGGGCUCAAACGACACAGGAAUACUUUUGAAAGGAGGUAGCUCUACGGAGUCUGUGUCGAGGUGCUGCAUGGUUGUCGUCAGCUCGUGCCGUGAGGUGUCGGCUUAAGUGCCAUAACGAGCGCAACCCCCAUCGCCAGUUACCAGCAAGUCAAGUUGGGGACUCUGGCGAGACUGCCGGCGCAAGCUGUGAGGAAGGCGGGGAUGACGUCAAAUCAGCACGGCCCUUACGUCCGGGGCGACACACGUGUUACAAUGGCAGGUACAGAGAGAAGCAAUGCGGCGACGCAAAGCGGAGCUUGAAAGCCUGUCUCAGUUCGGAUUGGAGUCUGCAACUCGACUCCAUGAAGCUGGAUUCGCUAGUAAUCGCGCAUCAGCCAUGGCGCGGUGAAUACGUUCCCGGGCCUUGUACACACCGCCCGUCA